CACGGCGACGCGUCGUAUGGCGUUUCGCCCGCGAAACCGGCCGCAACAGUCACGAAUACGAAGGCGAGGCGAGGCGAGGCGAGGCGAGGCCGAGGAUCGCGGAUCUGCGUGUGUGUCGCCAACAACGCGUCGAUUUUUUUAGAUCGUUCGUGACUCGAUGCGGAGUCUUCAUCGAUCCGUCUCCCGCCGCUCGUUCGCCGUUUCUUCGAUGAGGAAAACCGACUGCGCGCUGUUUAUUCAACGGUUAUCUCUCGAUCGAUCUCGAGGGAUCGGUAGCUAAAACCGGAGGAUCGAACGAUGCGCGAGUAGCGACAUGGCGCGACUGUAUUACGAGUGCAGCGUCGAUUUCAGAAACAUCACCGAGGACACCGAGAUAAAACCGUACGCUUGCACCGCGGACAAGUAUUGCUUGUACUGUUGCUGCAACUCUCAGUGUUGCCUGCUGGUACAAAGACGGCCGCCACGACAUUUUUGGGAAGCCUGGUACUUCUGGCUAGGCGUUGCUUUGCUCGCUGUGUUUAUCGUGUCUUCGGUGAGCAGCUACAUAGUCAGUAAUUGCAGACAUAAUAUUCAAGGUGUACCACUAGCACACAACGCGCACGCCAACAGGCAAAGCGACCGCGGCGGUCGUCCAGGAAGCGAGCAGAACGAGAUAUCGAUAAGUAUAAUUCCGACGUCGGAGUUGUUCCCGUCCCACAGGAAAAUGUUCGUGGUCGCCUCUCAACCGGCCGUCAAUCAGCUCAGAUCGUUCAACGGAUUGUCGUCGCAGCGGAACGCGAUGGGAUCGAUCCAGCCCGAUUCGAGCCUGAUCGGUGGCCAGGAGUCGCCGGACCAGCUUCUCCAGAGUCGCGUGAAGCCGCUCCACUUCGCCGCGCUGUUGCUGGCGAUCGCCGCUCUGAUAUCGGUCCUGGCAGCCUGCUACGUUAUUACGAGGUUCCUCAAGGCGAAUCCGUACACGGCGGGCAGCGUGGAAUGACGAGGACUCCACCCUUCGAUGAUCCCUCGAGGCCGACGCGUUCACCGGCUGUCCACGUGGUCCCUCCAACCGAGCCGAACUGGCAGCGGGUCCGAGCGAACCAGUUUCUCAACAUCUUUCGUGUCGUUUAAACGAUUCGAUCAGUUGCUCGUACCUUGCCAGUUUAUAUACGGAACACGUCGCCAAUCGUUUCUCCUCGAAAGGUUGAAAUUGAAACCGGCUCGCAGCCGCCACUUCCCGGCUCAAUCGUAUGCCCGCGAUCGCGCUAACGAACCUAAAAUAUAAAUAGAAGCAGCCCGUGUAGGAGACGACUGCCGCCGACAGGCCGAACAGCUCCGUAUCGACGGGAUCUUUUCGUUCGCCGGCUCGUACCGACAACGAAAUACGAAGGAAAUCCCAAGGAAAUGCCGAGGAAGUGCCGAGGAAAUGCCGGGGAAGUAGCGAAGAAUCGCGGCCCCGUUAACGCCGCGACGUUCGGAAUAAAAACGAGGGACCAUGUAUCAACUGUUUGCCCGGUAACUCCAUUAUUCGUGAUACUCGAAUCGAAGCGUUCUUCUGUUUGUUCAGGGUGAUGGAUGCACGGCGCCGAACGGAUCCCAGGGAUCUCGCGCCGUUUCGAGAGUCAUCGAGCGCCUGACGAGGCUCGUCGAGGAGCAGUCCCGGGCAAACAAGGCCGACAGCCUUUUGUUUCGAGUGCGACGUCGGUCUUCCGGUGGAAUCCCUUCAGCCCGGCUUCGAGCGGCGAGGGAACCAGGUGUCUCGUUGUUUCCACGUAAUUAGUCAUCCUCGGAGGUCGCGUAACGGGGAGGAAGCAAACAGCCGAGGAGUAUACGGACCGAUAAGUUGGACACUGCUGGGCAAGCCGAGCCGGGCUGGAAAGUAAAUUCAACGGUGGCCAACAACUUCGAUAAGACAACGCGUGUACAGGCAAACUGCAUUCCCGUGUAGACGUUUUAUAUUUUAUUCGCCGCGAACACGAGCUCUGUAUCUCUGUAUCGGCAACUUGUACUCGAUUUAUGGAUUCAUCGAUGC